rnacentral:lncRNA from 1 species
GCCCAGGGCUGGGAGUGCUCAGCUGAGAAUGUUCUGGAAGGUUUGGAAGACCUCAGUGCUCCAGGCCAGCAGGGGGUGGGGGAUCAGGGGUGGGGGUCUCUCUGGAACCUGAUUUAGAAGCUUAGAAGCAUCUUACUUACCCAGAGCAACUCCCCUUCCCUCCUAGCUGUGCCCCGCCCUGACCCCCAGAGGAGCCUGGGCCUGCGGUCCUAGGGGAUAAGAAGGGCUCUGCAUGGAGGACAUUGGUCCUGCUGAGGCUUCCAGAGGUUGGCAAUUUUCUGUAGAUUGGAUACUUUACAAAGUUCCCCAGGAUGAAACCCAGGAGUGCGGAGCUGAGCUCACAGUGGGCCCUGAGCCAGAGAGAGGAGACGCUAGGAGAAGGCCCGGCGGGACGGGUGUCUGCACUGUUUUCCAGGACCCCUCCUGAGGGCUGCAAAAAGCUUCCAGGCCUCCAUGUUGAUGGCAGAGCAGGCAAGGCAGCUCACCCUUCACCCUGCUGACUUCUGUGCACAUUUGGGGCCACGUUUUCAACAGCUCCGGCACUGGAGCCAAGAUAAAGUCAGCCUAAGGUUUCCACCUCUGGGCCUGAACUCACCUCCUCAGCCCCUGAGACUCACCCAGAACCUCAUCAGGAGACCAGCUAACAGAACGAUGAGAACAGUUGGAGGAUCUUCUAAAGCCUUUCUCUUGCCUCAUAGUUUAUUUCCUUGCAGAAUCCAGCCCCUCAGAUGCAGCUGAUGUCUUAGCCACCACACACAGCAACCUUUUUUGUCUUCACAGUUGUCUCUGAAGCAGCUUCCAACUAAAUAAAAGCAGCUUUGUAAAGGACACAUCAUUGAGGCUCUCGUGACCUGUGCCAGGUGGGAGGAAGUGACCUCUGCUCUAUUUCCCAGCCCUGAUACCCAGCCUGGCAUCAGGCGGGGGGGGCUGUUGCCUGGUUACCCAUUUGCAUUUGUAAUUUAUCAGCGUUCUCCAAAUCAUAAAGGUUUGGGUUUUAGUUAUGCAUGUCUGGCCCCUGGAAGAAAGGCUGAAUGAGAUCCCUCAGGGAGGUAAAGCUUUGGUCCCUGAAUCAUCUCUU